GGAUAGAAAGACGACGGCAUAGCCAUAAAAAUCAAAUGACAAGUCCCGAGCUCCAGCAACAAAAGCACCGAACACGAUUAUCACAACACUUCCAAUAAUAGGACGACUAUACUUCUGACCUGCAAGAAUGGAUUCCACAAUCAUUGUAAAUACAACAGUUGUCCUCCUAAGGGUUGUGUACAUGGGUACAUUGACUCCCCGAACAGACUCCAUCGUGACUAGCAUGUAGAGAAGAUAGGUCACAGCAACAGGUAAAGUAUCAAUUACUGUCUUCAGUGGCACAAACGUUUUAAAAUUGUCAGGCGUAGCCAGCGAUUCACUCAAAUGAAAAGAAAUCAGCUUCAGCCGUCUUAAGAGAUAAAGAAAACAACACGAGCAUAUUAUCUGACAGAGUGUGAUGACAUUUGCAGAUGGGAAGUUGUAUGAAGAAAGAGCCGCUUUAUUGAACAAUACCAAGAGAACAGCACAUGACAUGUAAGAGAUAGCAGCAUAAGCACCGCGUUUGGUCAUGGCCGAUCCUUUGAAGAGCUUCUCCUCCAUCCGCGGCGGUGAUGGAUCGAUCGCCGUCGUCGUUGGUAGUAGCGGAUUGUUCUUCGUUGAACUUGAAGCCAUGAUUAACAGUAUCACAAAACUCAGAUCUCUC
rnacentral:misc_RNA from 1 species